GAUGCAAAACUGAUUUAAUAUAAACUGCUGAUUAAACGUUGUGUAAAAACACUGGUAACUGAGCUUUGUCCUGGCAGGAUUUACCAAGUAUCUUCUGUCCUCUGUUUUGUUAACGCCAACUUUCUAUCCCGCUUUGACGAUUUGUGGCUUUUGUGCCUCUGUGUAAUCCGUAUCAAAUCUGUACCAGAGGGCAAUCUGGUCUGGCAACAAAACCAUUCUUCCAUGCAGAAAUUCAUAAAGAAUAAUCUUAUUACAAUAAUUCGUAAAGUGCCCUCAGGAAGGUGCUCAUGAUGCCAUGACAUUAUAGAAACAAUAUACAAUCUGAUACAUUAAUUUCCAAAAAAAUCUUCCAAAGCAAAAAGGGAAAAAAUAAAAGGAGGGGAACAACAAAUAUAGAGGCAAAUACUGUCAGUCUAACGAUAGUCAAAUUAAUUAUGGAACACUUCAUAAUUAGUCUCAGAGUGCUUGUAAAAAUGGGGAGGGUGAAACUGGCAGGAGGAUCUUGGAAAGAUCCCACGUUUUCUAAUUCUACCAAAGUAAAUGCACCAUCAGCAAGCUCCAUGUUUGAAGAUAAACGACUAUGAAUUACUAUGAGGUAUUUUACUAAGGGCAUUGAAAAAAAUACAACAUCCAAAGAAAUACCAUGACCCACAUUUUACUAAGAGGAAAGAAGAUAAUACAGUGGCUACGUAUACCCACGGACCUUUAGUGUCUUGGGUUUUAUAUUUAUAAAGAAAACAAUCUUUCUCCUCCCUGCUGAUCCCAGAUUUUUUUUUUUAUAUAUAUAUAUAUGUAACUACAUAAUAUAUAGUUUCAUGUAUAUAUAAUCAUACACACAUAUGUGUAUAUAUUUCAGGGUCUUACUAGAUUUCAGAGUCUUAUUUUUCUUUUUUGCUUUCUUUAAUGACUUAGAGAACACAUAGGGCAAAAAAUCAAGUAAUUGGGUGCAUGCAAGCGUGUCUUGCCACUUGUGCAUGUAAAUCACACCAUUUGUAAACAACUGCAGCAAUAGUGUGCUCAAAUGAGGCAUCUGAUUGCCCAAUUAACUUGUUCAAAGAAAAUCAGAUGAUAACCUUCAGUAGCUCCUAUUAUAGAUUUUACUUCUCAGUACUGCUUUACUGAAUUCAUAGUGUAUAUUCUAAAUGACUGCAUUGUUGGUUUGUGCUUUUACAUAGGCAUAAGCAGCAAUGCACACUUCAUAAAGCUAUCACGUCAACUUUGGACCAGAUUUGAGAGAGCAUUUUAGAUACUUUGAGUCCCCUUAUUUUAGUGAGAACGAGCCACCUUAGACAAUUGUCUAUCCUCAUGGACAGAGAAACUGAAGUACCCAAAUCUAUCCAAGUCCUGCAAGUAGAGAAACUUGUUAAUUUGUGUAUCAAAAUGACUUAAGAAAUGGACUUUUACCAUAAAUACGUUGCUCCUUUGUUGCUGAACUUCUUUUUCUGAGAUGAUGUUGUGGAAACAGGGUAUUUUCUUUUCUCUACUAACUUUUUGCAUCAAAUAAAUCUUAGCAACUAUAAUAAGGUGAAAAAAAAAAGCUGAGCAAACUUUAUCUUAACAACAUUCUCUCAAAUAAGAGAAAAGGAAGCAAAGAGCAGAACUGCUGGGCUGGAUCGUGUCCCUGAAUAGGUAUUACAGAUAAUCUUGGCUGCAUUUACCAGUUCUUUAUAGGCCUCCUGCAGCAACAGGCGCGCUGGUCCAACUCUUCAUCCUCCCUCAGGAACAGGGGAGCAGCAAGACAAGCUACUGGCC
ensembl:lncRNA